GCUAGAGACCCCGCACAUGAGCCAAGCUAGCACAUACGUAGCUGAAUCCACUGGCUUUGCUAGAUAGCUAGCCAGGCAUGGAUAAGUGCUUCGGACGGGAGAAAUGCCUCGCCUCCAGGGUGGUUACACACGGAUGAAGGUGCGGUUGGGGCUGAGGAAUGACCAGAACGGUGAUGGGCCAAGCCGCGGCCGCGGCGGUUGCCGGGACGCGGUAGGAGCCGGCGCAAGCGCGACGGCCGGGAGCGGCGCCAGCGUGAGGAUGACGCGACAGAGAGCUUGAGCUUGAUUUGGUGGGAGCGAAGAACAAGGCGGAUGGUGUUGAGGCCACCGGCGAGGACGCGCUGCCCCGCGCCAGUGCCCCGGGGGCGUGUCGAUGUCGGGCCACCCAAUCGGAGAGACGACGGCGACGUCAUGGCGAUGACGACAAAAAGGGUCCCGUCCGGACCGCGGUUCGAGCAGCAGCAGACACACUGUGGGCAUCAAAUGUCGUCGUUUUGAUAUAGGGGUACCCCGACGGCAUAUGCCAGGGGAUGACUAAUCGAGGUGAGGGAAAGGCUGUCGUGGAGGAUCCGGGACGGGAUAGGGUAAUAGUACGCGGUAGUACCCAGGUUCGGGGCUCUCCGAAGAGAUAAUACCCCUACUCCUGCAUUUGUGUAUAUGAUGUAUCUUGGUAGUACAAGGUUGCUCCUAGAGCUGUAUUAGAGGAGGAAGAGAGCUGAGUGCCUCCUUCCUGGCCUCAUGUGUGAGUGUGUGUAUGUGGGAGAGUGUG
rnacentral:lncRNA from 1 species